rnacentral:tRNA from 1 species
UCCCAGGUGGCUCAGACAGUAAAGAAUCUGCCUGCAGUGCAGAAGACCAGGGUUCAAUCCCUGGGCCGGGAA